GCUGGCGGCGUGCCUAACACAUGCAAGUCGAGCGAGAAAGUCCUUCGGGAUGAGUACAGCGGCGGACGGGUGAGCAACGCGUGAGUAUCUGCCCUUCAGUGAAGAAUACCACCGAGAAAUCGGUGUUAAUACUGCAUAAGUCCCUACGGGGAGAAAGAUGGCCUCUUUGCUGUCGCUGAUGGAUGAGCUUGCGUACUAUUAGCUAGUUGGUAAGGUAAAGGCUUACCAAGGCGAUGAUGGUUAACCGGCCUGAGAGGGUGUACGGUCACAUUGGAACUGAGACACGGUCCAGACUCCUACGGGAGGCAGCAGUGGGGAAUAUUGCGCAAUGGGCGAAAGCCUGACGCAGCGACGCCGCGUGGAGGAUGAAGGUCUUCGGAUUGUAAACUUCUGUUAAGUGGGAAAAAAGACUUGCUCAUAAUACGAGCGGGGGAUGAUGGUACCA
rnacentral:rRNA from 1 species